AGUGAACGCUGGCGGUAGGCCUAACACAUGCAAGUCGAACGGCAGCACAGUAAGAGCUUGCUCUUACGGGUGGCGAGUGGCGGACGGGUGAGGAAUACAUCGGAAUCUACUUUUUCGUGGGGGAUAACGUAGGGAAACUUACGCUAAUACCGCAUACGACCUACGGGUGAAAGCAGGGGAUCUUCGGACCUUGCGCGAUUGAAUGAGCCGAUGUCGGAUUAGCUAGUUGGCGGGGUAAAGGCCCACCAAGGCGACGAUCCGUAGCUGGUCUGAGAGGAUGAUCAACCACACUGGAACUGAGACACGGUCCAGACUCCUACGGGAGGCAGCAGUAGGGAAUAUUGGACAAUGGGCGCAAGCCUGAUCCAGCCAUACCGCGUGAGUGAAGAAGGCCUUCGGGUUGUAAAGCCCUUUUGUUGGGAAAGAAAAGCAGCAGGUUAAUACCCCGCUGUUCUGACGGUACCCAAAGAAUAAGCACCGGCUAACUUCGUG
rnacentral:rRNA from 1 species